rnacentral:rRNA from 1 species
AUUGAACGCUGGCGGCAGGCCUAACACAUGCAAGUCGAACGAGUGGCGGACGGGUGAGUAAUGUCUGGGAAACUGCCUGAUGGAGGGGGAUAACUACUGGAAACGGUAGCUAAUACCGCAUACCAUCGGAUGUGCCCAGAUGGGAUUAGCUAGUAGGUGGGGUAAAGGCUCACCUAGGCGACGAUCCCUAGCUGGUCUGAGAGGAUGACCAGCAACACUGGAACUGAGACACGGGCCAGACUCCUACGGGAGGCAGCAGUGGGGAAUAUUGCACAAGGGGCGCAAGCCUGAUGCAGCCAUGCCGCGUGUAUGAAGAAGGCCUGCGGGUUGUAAAGUACUGUCAGCGGGGAGGCGUUACCCGCAGAAGAAGCACCGGCUAACUCCGUGCCAGCAGCCGCGGUAAUAC